UACGGGGGGUGCGAGCGUUGUCCGGAAUCACUGGGCGUAAAGGGCGCGUAGGUGGUUUGAUAAGGGUGUGGUGAAAAGCCCGGGGCUCAACCCCGGGUCUGCCCGUGCCGACUGUCAAACUCGAGGGCUGUAGAGGCAGACGGAAUUCCGGGUGUAGCGGUGGAAUGCGUAGAGAUCCGGAGGAAGACCGGUGGCGAAGGCGGCAUCCUGGACCAACACUGACGCUGAUGAGCGAAAGCCAGGGGAGCAAACGGG
rnacentral:rRNA from 1 species